UAAUCAGGAAAGCAAAAUAGCCAAUAACCUCUAGAAAAUGAUCACAAAACUUCAGCUGGCACACUGUCUUGAGUUAUACACAUGCAGUGAUACAGAACAGGUGCAAUGCAAAUACAAUUAAUCAAAGCUAACCACCAGAAAUGGAGGCCUUGAGCUUGUUCAUAUCGAUGAAUCUGUCAUCAGACUUGUAGCAGGUGUGAUGACAGUACACGUAGACACAGUCAAAUAUGAAAAAAAAACAUUUAGCUAUGAAAAAGGUGAUAUAUUUAUGUGCAAUGCUCCCUAGAUUUUGUAGGCUAGUGGAUUGUCAUAUUAGUCUCUAGAUAAAAAUUAGAGAUGGGCAGAUGCAGUCAUUUACAUUUCGGCUGUCAAAUUCACGCUAUAAUCUUGACAUGUGCAUAAACAGUCUGCAAUAUAUGAUUGACAUUACAUAGGGUAAAUGCAGAGUUAGAAACUGUAGCAUUCAGUACCUAGUGUUGUACUAAUUACAUAGGCUAAUUGUAGAGUAGAACUAAAACUUUGUUGUUAAUUAAUAGGUUAAGGUUAAGGUGUCCUCAGGCCUCAUGGACACGAGAACCAAUAAUAUAGUGACCAUGAGCUGUUUGCUUGGCUUUCAGCUUCAGAACUCAGAAGGGAAAAAAAUUAAAGUGAACAGGAUUAUUUUGACAAAAGUGUUACUGAUUUACAGCCAUUUUUGAACCAUCGGUGCAGAUAUGUAGAUCUUCAAAUUUAAUUGUGUCCUUGAUUCACAUAUUUGCCCAACAGACUGACGCAGGGCAAGAAACCAAGUGUAUUCUCCUGUCAUCGAAGGCACUUGUUAAUGUCAAACCAAACAUUUAGAUCAUUGCUGAUGAUGCCAAAAGAAAAAUAUAUUGUCCAAUAAAAAAAUCGUUUCAGUAGGCUAUCGGCCUUUAACAUUAAUAUUUCCUUGCUGAACAAAACACAGGAACAAUCUUUUUUUUAAAAAAAAACAUAAACAUAAUUGUACAUGUGCUUUCUAACAUAUUCUUUGUCAAUCCAUCCCAUUACUGUUCUUUAUUAUGUUUUCCCGGCUACAGUCUGGGAAGGCAAAGAUAGGAGGUGAUGAGAUUUUCUGAGUUUGAGACUUACCAAACUAUUUAGCUGUGAUCCGAUUUAUCUUUGUCCCGCUUUUUCUGAAGCUGUGAUUGGGAUGGGGAUGGGGAUGAGAAAGCGAGUAGGAGGGGUGCGGUGGAGGCGAGGAGGCGGUGGACUGUGCGAGGAAGAGACGCCGGAGGAGGAGAGGAGAAAGCAACGGCGUGGAUGGACUUCGCCGGCGACGUGGAAUGGAAGUAGAGGCGGAGGAGGCGACGGCAAUGCGGAGGCGGCGGUGGAUUUGCUUCUGAGGAGAUGGGUUACUUCUGCGUCUCUUUUAUUUUUUUUUCUUUUUCGUA
rnacentral:lncRNA from 1 species